rnacentral:rRNA from 1 species
UACGAAGGGUGCAAGCGUUACUCGGAAUUACUGGGCGUAAAGCGUGCGUAGGUGGUUUGUUAAGUCUGAUGUGAAAGCCCUGGGCUCAACCUGGGAAUUGCAUUGGAUACUGGCAGGCUAGAGUGCGGUAGAGGAUGGCGGAAUUCCCGGUGUAGCAGUGAAAUGCGUAGAGAUCGGGAGGAACAUCUGUGGCGAAGGCGGCCAUCUGGACCGACACUGACGCUGAGGAGCGAAAGCCAGGGGAGCAAACGGG